UUAAAUUAAGAAAUUAUGAGAGUUAUAUCGUUCAUAUUUCUCAAAUCUCAUCUCGACUCAUUAGUUGUUGGGAGUCCGAGUUGACUCAGCAAUGGCGUCUUUCACGCAACAACUACUCAUUACUCUAAUCUCACUCUUCGUCACCGUCACCGUCGCCGUCGCCACCACCGUAUCCACCACCUCCGACAUCCACGACAUCCUCCAAAACUACGGUCUCCCAAUCGGUAUCCUACCUGACGCCGUCGAAUCCUACACACUCUCACCAACCGGUGCCUUCACCGUCACACUAUCCCGCCCGUGCUACGUGAAAUUCGACGAUCAAACCGUGUACUACAAUAACUUCAUAACCGGCACGUUGACUUACGGAUCCGUAUCCGGUGUGUCCGGUAUUCAGGCCAAGCAGCUGUUCCUGUGGCUCAGUGUUACCGGUAUGGAUCUGGACACUAGCUCAAAUAUGAUCGAGUUUCAUGUUGGAGUUUUGUCCAAGAAGUUGCCGGUUGAUAUGUUUCUGGAUGUUCCGGAGUGUAAGAGUCAAGCUAGUGGAUGUGGAGGUUCUGUUCAGGCGAUGUGAAUCCGAAGGUGAUCUAGUUUGUUUUGGUUAUGGUUUGAUUAUUUUGUGUCGAUAAUUGUGAUGUGAUAUUGUGAAUCUAGGCAUUGCUUUAAAAACCGGUAAAUACGGGCUGGUUAUACUGGUAUUACCGUUUCCAUGUAAAUCCGGUACAAAACACUCCGGUGAAUAAGUGAAAUGGCAUAAGGUUUGUACUGGCGGUAAAAUCCGGUAUACCGGUUUGAAACGUAAUACCGGUACCGGCCUAAGGUUAUUUUAGUUUGGGUGGUUACUUAUUUUUA